CAGCCGCCACGGUAAUACGUAGGUGGCAAGCGUUGUCCGGAAUUAUUGGGCGUAAAGGGCUCGCAGGCGGUUUCUUAAGUCUGAUGUGAAAGCCCCCGGCUCAACCGGGGAGGGUCAUUGGAAACUGGGAAACUUGAGUGCAGAAGAGGAGAGUGGAAUUCCACGUGUAGCGGCGAAAUGCAUAGAGAUGUGGAGGAACACCAGUGGCGAAGGUGACUCUCUGGUCUGUAACUGACGCUGAGGAGCGAAAGCGUGAGGAGCGAACAGGAUUAGAUAUCCCGGUAGUCCCUGUCUCUUAUAC
rnacentral:rRNA from 1 species